rnacentral:tRNA from 1 species
UCCUCUAUGGUCUAGCGGUUAGAAUUCCUGGUUUUCACCUAGGCGGCCCGGGUUCAAUUCCCGGUAUGGGAA